GUCUCAGUAGCUCAAUUGGAUAGAGCAUCCCCCUCCUAAGGGGAAGGUUGGCAGUUCGAACCUGCCCUGGGACA
rfam:Pseudomonas batumici strain TCM B-321 Contig_55, whole genome shotgun sequence.